rnacentral:rRNA from 1 species
UUGCCUUAGUAACGGCGAGUGAAGCGGCAAUAGCUCAAAUUUGAAAGCUGGCGUCUUCGACGUCCGCGUUGUAAUUUGUAGAGGAUGCUUCGGCGAGGACUCCUGCCUAAGUCCCCUGGAACGGGGCGUCACAGAGGGUGAGAAUCCCGUAUGUGGCGGGCGGUCCAAGCCAUGUGAAGCUCCUUCGACGAGUCGAGUUGUUUGGGAAUGCAGCUCUAAAUGGGAGGUAAAUUUCUUCUAAAGCUAAAUAUUGGCCAGAGACCGAUAGCGCACAAGUAGAGUGAUCGAAAGAUGAAAAGCACUUUGGAAAGAGAGUUAAAAAGUACGUGAAAUUGUUGAAAGGGAAGCGCUUGCAACCAGACUCGCUCGCAGUUGCUCAGCCGGCCUCUUGGCCGGCGUACUCUUCUGCGAUCGGGCCAGCAUCAGUUCGGGCGGCCGGAUAAAGGUGUCGGGAAUGUAGCACCCUUCGGGGUGUGUUAUAGCCCGGCGCGGAAUGCGGCCAGCCUGGACUGAGGAUCUCGCUUCGGCAAGGAUGCUGGCGUAAUGGUUGUAAGCGGCCCGUCUUGAAACACGGACCAAGGAGUCUAACAUCUAUGCGAGUGUUUGGGUGUCAAACCCAUGCGCGUAAUGAAAGUGAACGGAGGUGGGAACCCCUCACGGGGUGCACCAUCGACCGAUCCUGAUGUCUUCGGAUGGAUUUGAGUAAGAGCAUAGCUGUUGGGACCCGAAAGAUGGUGAACUAUGCCUGAAUAGGGUGAAGCCAGAGGAAACUCUGGUGGAGGCUCGCAGCGGUUCUGACGUGCAAAUCGAUCGUCAAAUUUGGGUAUAGGGGCGAAAGACUAAUCG